rnacentral:lncRNA from 1 species
AACAAGGAUGGAGGACAGGGAGCGGGGAUGGAGGGUACGGAACAAGGAUGGAGGACAGGGAGCGGGGAUGGAGGACAGGGAGUAAGGAUAGAGGACAAGGAGUAAGGAAGGAGGGCAGGGAGUAAGGAUGGAGGACAAGGAUAAGGGUGGAGGACAAGAAGCAAGGAUGGAGGACGUGGGUGGAGGACAGGGAAUGAGGAUGGAGGGCAUGGAUGGAGGACAAGAUGUAAGGAUGGAGGACAAGAUGUAAGGAUGGAGGGCAUGGAUGGAGGACAAGGAAUAAGAGUGGAGGACAGAGAAUAAGGAUGGAGGACAAGGAGUAAGGAUGGAGAGCGUGGAUGGAGGUCAAGGAAUAAGAAUGGAGGACAAGGAAUAAGGAUGGAGGGUAUGGAUGCAGGACAAGGAUAAGGAUGGAGGACAGGGAUGGAGGACAAGGAGUAAGGAUGGAGGGCAUGGAUGGAGGACAAGGAUAAGGAUGGAGGACAUGGAUGGAGGACAAGGAGUAAGGAUGGAGGACGUGGAUGGAGGACGUGGCACAAGGAUGUAGGACAAGGAUGAGGAUGGAGGGUAGGGAUGGAGGACAAGGAGUAGGGAUGGAGGAUAAGGAGUAAGGAUGGAGGACAUGGCACAAGGAUGCAGGGCAAUGAUAAGGGUGCAGGACAGGGAUGGAAGUCAAGGAGUAAGGAUGGAGGAUGUGGCACAAGGACGCAGGACAAGGAUAAGGAUGGAGGACAGGGAUGGAGGACAAGGAGUAGGGAUGGAGGAUAAGGAGUAAGGAUGGAGGACACGGCACAAGGAGGCAGGAUAAGGAUAAGGAUGGAGGACAUGGAUGGAAGACAUGGCACAAGGACACAGGACAAGGAUAAGGAUGGAGGACAGGGAUGGAAGUCAAGGAGUAAGGAUGGAGGACAUGGAUGGAGAACGUGGCAGAAGGAUGCAGGACAAGGAUAAGGAUGCAGGACAAGAAUAAGGAUGCAGGACCGGGAUAAGGAUGCAGGACAGGGAUAAGGGUGCAGGACAGGGAUAAGGAUGGAGGACAGGGAUAAGGGUGCAGGACAGGGAUAAGGGUGCAGGACAAGGAUAAGGGGAUAAGGGUGCAGGACAGAGAUAAGGGUGCAGGACAGGGAUAAGGGUGGAGGGCAGGGAUAAGGAUGCAGGACAGGGAUAAGGGUGCAGGACAGGGAU